CACCGUCGAGCCCUCUCUCUGUGUCGCCAUUGAGCCCUCGAUCUCUGUGUGUCGCCGUUGAACUCUCGAUCUCUCUGUGUUGUCGUCGAGCUAACGACCCUUCUCUGGUAAGCCAACACUGUCCACAAAUUUUGAGGAGGUUACAUGGGCAAAAUUGAAGUCUGCUAUUUGUGCUAUAUUCUUGAAGCAACCCGACUCUUGUGAUUUGGAAAAGCUUUAUCAGGCUGUCAGUGAUCUUUGCAUAUAUAAAAUGGCUGGAAAUCUUUAUCAACGAAUUGAAAUGGAAUGCGAAGCACAUAUAUCUACAGCUUUGCAAUCUUUGGUUGGACAAAGCCCUUAUUUGGUUGUUUUUUUAUCUCUAGUUGAGAGAUGUUGGCAGGAUCUUUGUGACCAAAUAUUGAUGAUUCAGGGUAUAUCCUUGUAUCUGGAUAGGACAUAUGUGAAGCAAACAGCAAAUGUACGGUCCUUAUGGGACAUGGGCUUACAACUUUUCCACUAACAUCUUUCAUUAUCUCCUGAAGUUGAACACAAAACUGUUACCGGUCUUCUAAGAAUGAUUGAAAGUGAAAGAUUAGGUGAAGCAAUGGAUAGAACGCUUCUAAACUAUCUUUUGAAGAUGUUCACAGCACUGGGAAUAUAUGCAGAAAGCUUCGAGAAGCCAUUUCUUGAAUGCACAUCUGAAUUUUAUGCUGCUCAAGGUAUGAAAUACAUGCAGCAAUCAGAUGUUCUAGAUUAUUUGAAGCAUGUGGAGGUGCUUUCUUUUCUUUAUCCCCUUCUAUUAUCUUGUUAGCUUGAAUUGUUGGUAUUUGUAUGUGCUCCUUUAAGUAGUUCUUUAACUAUUAGAUCUUGCCAUGCCAUGUAUGUAUUUUAUCGGAUAUAUAAUCUGCAAUGCAUCCAAGAUCAAUUGCAAUACUAGAAUAUGUUCCAUAGAUAAACUAAAGAAACACCAUAGCAAACCACAAGUAUAGUGUGAACUAACCAUAACAUAAAACUAACAUUAAGGCCACUGAAACUUAAAAUUCUAACAAAUAACUUGCAUCAAAUACUCAAGCAACAGUAAUAGUAUAUACUAUCAUUUGUAUAAAUUUUAGAAUAAUUAUUAUCUAAAUACCCAAGUACUAAAAUAGAUAACAUUUUCAAUCCAAAAUCCUUUAAUAUUCUACAAUGAAUGAUAUUCAAAUAUGAGAGGUAGAUUGAAUUUCAAAAAAAAAACACAAAUUACAAAACAGUCGCAGGAUGAUAAAAAUUGUGGAAGGAGCAAUGAAGAAUUUACCUUCACCACAAAGAGAUUUCUUGGUAGUGAUGAAGAAUUUUCCUCACGGGUCCCUUCACCCUGAGACACUUGUCUUUGGCAGAAACACGGGUAGAGGAGCCAAGCAAGACAACUAGAAGUGGCAAAAAUAGAAGGGGAUGUAGGCGGUAAUUGAAGCGGCCAAAGGGCAAAGAAACCAGAGGCAGAGGUGAACCUGAAUGGUGGUUCAAAAAAGGGGUAGGUUUUUUAUUAAAAAAAUAAAAACAGGAUGGAAUAAGAAGAGGGAUGAGGGCAACCUACCUAGACGACAGAGGAGAGACACAACUCCGGCGACAGAGGGAGUGGCAGCGGUAGCUCUUCCAACGAUGGCAGAGACAGAGGGAGCAACUCCGUUUGAGACAAUAAAACACGAUACAUGUGACUUAACGCAGACUUUGGAGGAGAAUGGAGGUGGGUGGUGCUGGCGGAGGACUACCGGAGGUAGUUGCAGGGGAGAGAGAAGAGAGAGGAGAAUAGGGGAGAGAGAAGGGUAUUCUCGAAAGUGAGGGGAUAAUGUCACACAUUUUAAAUUUAAGAUCAGGUUUACCGUCGGAUUUAUCCGCUGGUAAUUCCGACAGUAAUGCUUGUGCCAAUUUUUCCUUUUUUUCCUCCAAAUAUUACCAGCGAAUUUACCGUUGAAAAAUCUAAUAUGACAGUAACUUUUUUACCCGACGAAUUUAUUGCCAUAUCCGCCGAUAAACCCGCCGCUAACGUCCGACGCUAAAUCUGACAGUAUGUAAUGUUUUUCUUGUAGUGAAUACGUGUUUUACUUUCACUUCCUAGUUUUUCUUGAUCAGAGUUGUAAUUCUUCUUAACACCCUAAUGAGGAAAUUUGAUUUAGACGAGGGUUUUGGAUUAGUUCACUGACUACUUUAGAAUCAGACUCCAUUAUCAACUUUGAGAUCCCUCUUCCCCAUGCCAACUUCAUGCCAUCCAUGAUCGUUUGCACCUCAACCUCCGGAGUUGUUGUGUGGUUCAUCUUAUUCGUAAAUCCAUAAAUCCAACCAUCAAUAUCAUUUAUGAGCACUCUCACUCUAUUGGCUGGUCCAUAAUUUCCC